AGAGUUUGAUCUUGGCUCAGGAUGAACGCUGGCGGCGUGCCUAAUACAUGCAAGUCGAACGAGGGCACCUUCGUAGCAAUACGAGGGUGUUCCUAGUGGCGAAUGGGUGAGUAACACGUAGGCGACCUGCCCCGGAGAGGGGGAUAACGUCCCGAAAGGGAUGCUAAUACCCCGUACGAUCCAGAGGGUUAGAGUCUUCUGGAUGAAAGGAGCAAUCCGCUCUGGGAGGGGCCUGCGGCCCAUCAGCUUGUUGGUAGGGUCACGGCCUACCAAGGCGACGACGGGUAGGGGGCCUGAGAGGGUGGUCCCCCACACUGGCACUGAAACACGGGCCAGACACCUACGGGUGGCAGCAGUAGGGAAUAUUGCACAAUGGGCGAAAGCCUGAUGCAGCAACGCCGCGUGCGCGAUGAAGGCCUUCGGGUCGUAAAGCGCUUUUCGGGGGGAUGAGGAAGGACAGUACCCCCGGAAUAAGUCUCGGCUAACUACGUGCCAGCAGCCGCGGUAAAACGUAGGAGGCGAGCGUUAUCCGGAUUUACUGGGCGUAAAGCGCGUGUAGGCGGCCCGGUCAGUCGGACGUGAAAUCUCCUGGCUCAACUGGGAGGGGCCGUUCGACACUACCGGGCUUGAGGGCAAGAGAGGGAGGUGGAAUUCCGGGUGUAGCGGUGAAAUGCGUAGAUAUCCGGAGGAACACCUGUGGCGAAAGCGGCCUCCUGGCUUGCCCCUGACGCUCAGACGCGAAAGCUAGGGGAGCGAACGGGAUUAGAAACCCCGGUAGUCCUAGCUGUAAACUAUGCAGACUUGGUGUUGGUGGCUUAAACCCCAUCAGUGCCGCAGCUAACGCGAUAAGUCUGCCGCCUGGGGACUACGACCGCAAGGUUAAAACUCAAAGGAAUUGACGG
rnacentral:rRNA from 1 species